GCAGGUGCAUGCCUCUAGCAUGAAGUCAGACAAGUGAACCCGCUGAAUUUAAGCAUAUCAAUAAGCGGAGGAAGGGCGA
rnacentral:rRNA from 1 species